UCAAAAUCAAUUUUAUUAGAACAGUCUUAAACUUUUCUUUGUUAUGACAUUUCUACAGAUUGUUGUUAAUUUUUUUUUUUUUACAUUUCAAUCCUCAGCAAUGAGCGGUAACAAGUUCACGAUAAAGACAUUGUCAAACAUCAGCCAGAUCCUUCUGGUUAGGUUUUAGUUACCUUAUGUAUUUUUCUAAUCAUGUAUGAGUUUUUUCCCCUGCAGACAUAAAAUUACAUCCUAGCAGGUCACUGAAGUCCAUCAGUAGAUUGAUUUAUUUCCAAAUUCCACGAUGUGUAUUAAUUUUUAGUCUACAAAAAACACAUGUGUGAAAUCUUCAAGAAAAGACAUUUUCAACCCUCUUCUGGAUGUUGAAGUUUUAAAAAUUGUGUCCAUAAACAGAAUGUCAGCAAUCAUCCAGACGAUUAUGAAAUAACAUUCUUAACCUUCCUCAACCCGAGGGGCUCUUUAAUCAAGUCUAUAAAACACAUGUGUGAAAUCUUCAAGAAAAGACAAUUUCAAGAUGAAGCCAGGAUUUCAACCCUCUUCUGGAUGUUCAAGUUUUAAAAAAUUGUGAAAAUAAACAGAAUGUCAACAAUGAAAUAACACUCUUAACCUUCCUCAAGAGGCUCUUUAAUCAAGUCAACAACAGCACCUGUGUGAAAUCUUCAAGAAAAGACAUUUUCAAGCAGAAGCCAGGAUCUCAACAAACUUCUGGAUGUUCAAGAUUAAUAUUUGGAAAAUGUAAUUGUAUUUAAUUAUUUAUUUUUGUAAAGGGAGGAAAUUCAAGUAAAAUUUAGUUAUGUUUUAAAGGGGGAGGAUCUGGUGGGUGAUAUACAAUUAACUUAUUACACCUUUUGUUUUUCUUUUGUUUCACUGUCAUUGUUCUUUCUAUUAGAUGGAUGGUGGGGAUGCAGGGUAUGGUUUU